ACAGAAGAAGCACCGGCUAACUCCGUGCCAGCAGCCGCGGUAAUACGGAGGGUGCGAGCGUUAAUCGGAAUUACUGGGCGUAAAGCGCAUGCUAGGUGGUUUGUUAAGUCAGAUGUGAAAGCCCGGGGCUCAACCUCGGAAUUGCAUUUGAAACUGGCAAACUAGAGUACUGUAGAGGGGGUAGAAUUUCAGGUGUAGCGGUGAAAUGCGUAGAGAUCUGAAGGAAUACCGGUGGCGAAGGCGGCCCCCUGGACAGAUACUGACACUCAGAUGCGAAAGCGUGGGGAGCAAACAGGAUUAGAACCCCUGGUAG
rnacentral:rRNA from 1 species